UACGUAGGGUGCGAGCGUUAAUCGGAAUUACUGGGCGUAAAGCGUGCGCAGGCGGUUCGUUAUGUCCGAUGUGAAAGCCCCGAGCUCAACUUGGGAAUGGCAUUGGAAACUGGCGGGCUGGAGUGCGGCAGAGGGGGGUGGAAUUCCACGUGUAGCAGUGAAAUGCGUAGAGAUGUGGAGGAACACCGAUGGCGAAGGCAGCCCCCUGGGCCGAUACUGACGCUGAGGCGCGAAAGCCAGGGGAGCAAACGGG
rnacentral:rRNA from 1 species